rnacentral:tRNA from 1 species
AGUCUUAUAGUUAAUUUAAUAAUAUUAAUUUGCAAAAUUAAAGUAAUAAUAAUUUAUUAUUAAGGCUU